rnacentral:rRNA from 1 species
UUGAUCCAGAGAUUUCCGAAUGGGGAAACCCAGCAUGAGUUAUGUCAUGUUAUCGAUAUGUGAAUACAUAGCAUAUCAGAAGGCACACCCGGAGAACUGAAACAUCUUAGUACCCGGAGGAAGAGAAAGAAAAUUCGAUUCCCUUAGUAGCGGCGAGCGAAAUGGGAAGAGCCCAAACCAACAAGCUUGCUUGUUGGGGUUGUAGGACACUCUAUACGGAGUUACAAAGGACGACAUUAGACGAAUCAUCUGGAAAGAUGAAUCAAAGAAGGUAAUAAUCCUGUAGUCGAAAAUGUAGUCUCUCUUGAGUGGAUCCUGAGUACGACGGAGCACGUGAAAUUCCGUCGGAAUCUGGGAGGACCAUCUCCUAAGGCUAAAUACUCUCUAGUGACCGAUAGUGAACCAGUACCGUGAGGGAAAGGUGAAAAGCACCCCGGAAGGGGAGUGAAAUAGAACCUGAAACCGUGUGCUUACAAGUAGUCAGAGCCCGUUAAUGGGUGAUGGCGUGCCUUUUGUAGAAUGAACCGGCGAGUUACGAUUUGAUGCAAGGUUAAGCAGUAAAUGUGGAGCCGUAGCGAAAGCGAGUCUGAAUAGGGCGUUUAGUAUUUGGUCGUAGACCCGAAACCAGGUGAUCUACCCUUGGUCAGGUUGAAGUUCAGGUAACACUGAAUGGAGGACCGAACCGACUUACGUUGAAAAGUGAGCGGAUGAACUGAGGGUAGCGGAGAAAUUCCAAUCGAACCUGGAGAUAGCUGGUUCUCUCCGAAAUAGCUUUAGGGCUAGCCUCAAGUGAUGAUUAUUGGAGGUAGAGCACUGUUUGGACGAGGGGCCCCUCUCGGGUUACCGAAUUCAGACAAACUCCGAAUGCCAAUUAAUUUAACUUGGGAGUCAGAACAUGGGUGAUAAGGUCCGUGUUCGAAAGGGAAACAGCCCAGACCACCAGCUAAGGUCCCAAAAUAUAUGUUAAGUGGAAAAGGAUGUGGCGUUGCCCAGACAACUAGGAUGUUGGCUUAGAAGCAGCCAUCAUUUAAAGAGUGCGUAAUAGCUCACUAGUCGAGUGACACUGCGCCGAAAAUGUACCGGGGCUAAACAUAUUACCGAAGCUGUGGAUUGUCCUUUGGACAAUGGUAGGAGAGCGUUCUAAGGGCGUUGAAGCAUGAUCGUAAGGACAUGUGGAGCGCUUAGAAGUGAGAAUGCCGGUGUGAGUAGCGAAAGACGGGUGAGAAUCCCGUCCACCGAUUGACUAAGGUUUCCAGAGGAAGGCUCGUCCGCUCUGGGUUAGUCGGGUCCUAAGCUGAGGCCGACAGGCGUAGGCGAUGGAUAACAGGUUGAUAUUCCUGUACCACCUAUAAUCGUUUUA